UGGGGAAUAUUGGACAAUGGGCGAAAGCCUGAUCCAGCCAUGCCGCGUGAGUGAUGAAGGCCCUAGGGUUGUAAAGCUCUUUUGUGCGGGAGGAUAAUGACGGUACCGCAAGAAUAAGCCCCGGCUAACUUCGUGCCAGCAGCCGCGGUAAUACGAAGGGGGCUAGCGUUGCUCGGAAUCACUGGGCGUAAAGGGUGCGUAGGCGGGUUUCUAAGUCAGAGGUGAAAGCCUGGAGCUCAACUCCAGAACUGCCUUUGAUACUGGAAGUCUUGAGUUCGGGAGAGGUGAGUGGAACUGCGAGUGUAGAGGUGAAAUUCGUAGAUAUUCGCAAGAACACCAGUGGCGAAGGCGGCUCACUGGCCCGAUACUGACGCUGAGGCACGAAAGCGUGGGGAGCAAACA
rnacentral:rRNA from 1 species